GUAGAGAAGAGAAUGGAGUCAAAGAAACAUGCACAAGACAAGUCAUCAUCUCCACUGUUCCUACCAGCUCAAAGAGACGUCCGUGGCUCACUUGAAGUAUUCAACCCAUCAGCCAACGACACCACCGCACCAUUCCGACCACAGCCCACCUGGCGGAGCUGGGCGGAGUCGCCGCCACAGAACAACCCAGAAACGCCACCGUCGGAGGCAGUCAAUGUUAAUGUUGCUAGCCUUUCGACCUCUCAUUCCGGCAGAUUGCCAGCUGACGAGAUCAAGUCAUGGAUGGCCCUGAAAGAUCCUAACCCGUAUGAAGUUCCGCCGGUGACGUUGGCGCCAAAGUCACCGGCC
rnacentral:lncRNA from 1 species